UGCAUUGAACAGGGGAAGAAAUUCUGGCUAUGCCGCCGGAGGCCUGCUGCAGAACAUUUCGACUAUUUAUCCAGACCAAUAUACUGAUCAAUGUUGGAAAUAACAAUACAAUCAUGAUCCAAAAGAACAAAAAAGAUUACAAUCAUAGCCAUCAAAUCAAUUAGUUUGAUAGAUGCUGCAGCAGCUAUCAAACUAAUAAAAGAUACUGCAACAAUACCUAUUAACCUGAAUAUGAAUAUAGGAAAUGCAAAUACCAUCUUAAUUAAAGAUACAGAAAAAGAGCAACAGCCCUCAAAAUAAAUGUUAUGACUUUUAUUAAAUGUUUUAAAUGCUUAAUUUGUUUGUGAAUGUCCUGUUUGUUAAUGUCUUUUAUUAUAAUUUUAUUUAUGUGUUUAUUAUAUUUGUGAUAUUGAC